rnacentral:lncRNA from 1 species
AAGGACAACGGCCAUCCCUGUGGCUGGGCCGCCGGCUACGCAAUGCUGUCUCUCUUGCUGAUCCUCUCAGGCCUGGGCCGGCUGACCUCCGCGGGCCCACGCCACUUAUUCCAUCAAAAUUGAGGGGAAACCAUACACUUCCUGCUUGAAAAACAGUCAUUUUUACACCCACAUUUCCUGGUGUAUUUAUACAACAAAUCAGGAACAUUGUAUGCAGAUUCUUCAUUUUCAAAGGGUCAUUGCUUUUACCAAGGAUAUGCUGCAGACAUUCCAAAAUCAGUUGUGGCACUACGCACCUGUUCUGGACUCAGAUGUUUUCCCAGCUUAAUAUGACAGUUAUGCUGUCUUCCUUGGAGAUCUGGUCAGAUCAAAAUAAGAUUUCAACAAGUGGUCAUGCUGAUGAAAUACUACAGCGAUUUUUGCCUUGGAAACAAAAAUUUUUGUUUCAAAGGUCUCAUGAUAUGACAUACUUAUUAAUUUAUAGGAACCAUUCUACUUAUGUGGGAGCAACAUAUCACGGAAUGGCAUGCGAUCCAAAGUUUGCAACAGGAAUUGCUCUGUAUCCAAAGAAAAUCACUGCAGAGGCCUUUUCAGUUGUUAUGGCACAGUUGCUUGGAAUUAAUCUGGGAUUGACAUAUGAUGAUAUCUACAAUUGUUACUGUCCAGGAACUACAUGCAUAAUGAAUCCUGAUGCGAUAUGAUCCCAUGGUAUGAAGUUUUUUAGCAGUUGCAGCAUGGAUGGAUUUAAACGGAUAGUUCUGCAGCCUGAACUUAAAUGUUUUCAGGAUAAAACAGUUUCAAAAAUGACUUACCGAAAAUCUUCAACUUGUGGCAAUGGAAUUUUGGAACCUACAGAGCAGUGUGAUUGUGGCUAUAAAGAGGCAUGCACUCAUAAAAAAUGCUGUAAUCCUGCAGAUUGUACUCUAGUUAGAUCUGCAGAAUGUGGCACUGGAUCAUGCUGUAACAAUAAAACUUGUACGAUCCACGAAAGAGGCCAUGUCUGCAGAAAAAGUGUAGAUAUGUGUGAUUUUCCAGAAUAUUGCAAU